AACACAUGCAAGUCGAGCGGCAGCGGGAAGUAGCUUGCUACUUUGCCGGCGAGCGGCGGACUUUUGAGUAAUGUCUGGGAACUGCCUGAUGGAGGGGGAUAACUACUGGAAACGGUGGCUAAUACCGCAUAACGUCGCAAGACCAAAGAGGGGGACCUUCGGGCCUCUUGCCAUCAGAUGUGCCCAGAUGGGAUUAGCUAGUAGGUGGGGUAACGGCUCACCUAGGCGACGAUCCCUAGCUGGUCUGAGAGGAUGACCAGCCACACUGGAACUGAGACACGGUCCAGACUCCUACGGGAGGCAGAGUGGGGAAUAUUGCACAAUGGGCGCAAGCCUGAUGCAGCCAUGCCGCGUGUAUGAAGAAGGCCUUCGGGUUGUAAAGUACUUUCAGCGGGGAGGAAGGCGAUAAGGUUAAUAACCUUGUCGAUUGACGUUACCCGCAGAAGAAGCACCGGCUAACUCCGUGCCAGCAGCCGCGGUAAUACGGAGGGUGCAAGCGUUAAUCGGAAUUACUGGGCGUAAAGCGACGCACGCGGUCUGUCAAGUCGGA
rnacentral:rRNA from 1 species